rnacentral:rRNA from 1 species
UUGGAGGGCAAGUCUGGUGCCAGCAGCCGCGGUAAUUCCAGCUCCAAUAGCGUAUAUUAAAGUUGUUGCAGUUAAAAAGCUCGUAGUUGAAUUUCGGGGUUAGUAGGUUGGUCAUGCCUCUGGUAUGUACUGGUCUCACUGAUUCCUCCUUCCUGAUGAACCUUAAUGCCAUUAAUUUGGUGUUUUGGGGAAUUUGGACUGUUACUUUGAAAAAAUUAGAGUGUUUAAAGCAAGCUAACGCUUGAAUACAUUAGCACGGAAUAACGAAAUAGGACGUUCGAUCCUAUUUUGUUGGUUUCUAGGAUUGACGUAAUGAUUAAUAGGGAUAGUUGGGGGCAUUAGUAUUCAAUUGUCAGAGGUGAAAUUCUUGGAUUUAUUGAAGACUAACUACUGCGAAAGCAUUUGCCAAGGAUGUUUUCAUUAAUCAAGAACGAAAGUUAGGGGAUCGAAGACGAUCAGAUACCGUCGUAGUCUUAACCAUAAACUAUGCCGACUAGGGAUCGGAUGAUGUUAAUUUUUUAAUGACUCAUUCGGCGCCUUACGGGAAAC